rnacentral:rRNA from 1 species
UACAGAGGGUGCAAGCGUUGUUCGGAAUUAUUGGGCGUAAAGGGCGCGUAGGCGGUGCGGUAAGUCUGUAGUGAAAUCCCUGGGCUCAACUCAGAGUCUGCUGCAGAAACUGCCGUGCUUGAGUGUGGGAGAGGUGAGUGGAAUUCCCGGUGUAGCGGUGAAAAUGCGUAGAUAUCGGGAGGAACACCUGUGGCGAAAGCGGCUCACUGGACCACAACUGACGCUGAGGCGCGAAAGCUAGGGGAGCAAACAGG